rnacentral:lncRNA from 1 species
GAGCUUGGCUCAAUGUAGCUCAGGGGCAGAGCACAUGCUUGGCAUACAGAAGGUCCCAGGUUCAAUCCCUGACUUCCCAAGGUCGGAUUUGGCUUUUGGAGCAUAUGCUAACAGAAUCUGAACUGAUGGAAUAAGGGGGGAAAGAGGUCGCAACUGUAUUCAAAUAAAUGGGUGCGGAAGACGAAAGAAGGCUUUGGUCUAGGGCACUCUGGUCAGAGCUAAGCAUUACGUAAACAAAAUCCCCCCUCUUUCUUUCUUUCUUUCUUUCUUUCUUUCCUUCCUUCUUUCCUUGCUGUCUUGACAAGACAGCAGCCUCAUCACCUUGCAAGUGGAUCUGUGCAAUGGACAGGGCUUCUGGGGAAACUGGAAUUCCAAAUGCAGUCUCUAAUUAAAUAUUGUAUUUGUGCUUAUCACUUUUUAAAAAAGCAUUAAAAACUUCAUGCAUAGGAUUAGACGCACUGUUAAACUUUUGCAAUAGGAAUCCAGGAUUAGACCUUUCUGAGCGCUCUUUUUCCGAAAAGGAACCAUAGAAAAGACAUGCCUAAAAUACAAAUUUUUUUUGCUGUCCUUUUAAAAAAGAAAAAGAAGUGUGUUUCAGUUUGGAGUCUCUGAAAAACAGAAUGUGAUCAAAAGCAGAGAGAUGGGUUCUCUUUCUCUGCUCCCCCCCCCUUCUUUGUUUUUCAACUCUCCUGCUUCCCUUGCCCAUAAUUCACUUAUUUGGUUCUUAUGAUCUGAUGCUUUCUAAUAAUGGAGCUGGCCAGAUAAUCCCUCUUUUUCUGUUUCCUUAUUUCCCUAGAUAAUGCUUCAUCAUGCUUCACAGCAAAGUAGGAAUUUUAAGCAUGGCUUUCCAUUUUUACUCAGCACUUCCACUGUCCUGUGAUGUGUUGGCAACAGCCAGCACGAACUACCAGAGGUCGCAAGGAUGGCUCGGCAGCUGCUGUUGACGCUUUUAUUUGCUUAACCAGGCAUUUCUGAAGUUUCUCAGAUGAUGCAUUUCCAAGAUGACCUGAGAGAUGAGAUGGGGCACUAGCCAGUCUCGGUUUCAAUGCUCUCGGUCCCUUGAAAACUAGGGUGUUAGCUGUUGCAGAGAACAAUAAGCCCAUUUCUGCCAAAGAUUUGCACUGUUAUGCGGCCAACUUUUCAGAAGACUGAGAAAUGAGGCCGCAUUUAAGAUUUCCCACCAGUGGGAGGUAUAUGCCACCAAUCUGUAUUGGAUGUAGUGUAAGACAAAGGAGAGCUGCAAAGUUAGCUGGAUCUGUGCUAAUGUGGUCUCUUGAAAGGAAGAGAGAGAGAAAAAACUUGGCUCAAAUUACUUUGCAAAACACUUUUCCCCCAGCACUGAGAAUUGAAAAGGAUCUGAUUAAAAUAUAUCAGAUUGACUAUAUUUUCAUGACAGCAAUGAGGCGGGCAAUUUGUUUCCUUCCCCCAUCUUUAAUGAGCACCAUUUAGACAGCUUUGUACUCACUUUUUGGCACAGCUUUUGGAUCCAUAGGAUAGACUCGGAAGCAGCCUUGUUUCUGUUAUAAGAAUUUUCAUUUUGUGGAUAGUUAUUUCACCAUAGCUGUGACCAUACCUCAGUUAUUCUCCUGACUGCAGGCUCAUCUUCCUCAAUACAAUUCUCUUAUACUGAAUGAAGAAAAGAGAAAGGUUCUGCAAAUGUGUGUCGUGUGGCAAUUGUCUCCUGCCUGAAACUAUACCCUCCAACACUGCCCUGAAACACUCAAGACCCCUGAGGUUCUCCAUCUCUGCUUCCCCUUGCCUCAACAGUAUUAUCUCUCCUUCUCUGGCUCACUUUACGACACAUAUUAUGCUUUAAAUGGUAGUGGCCCAAGGGCAAUGGCAGCCGUGGCACAGCUAAAUCCUAGGCAGCCUUAUGGCUGGUGGAAGAAGGGGGCAGCAGAAAGUACCAUCUGGCAAUGAUAACUGAGGCCUACAUCAAUGUCUGAAACCUUGCCCAGUGCGCAGCCUUAGUGUAUAAUCCAUGCCGUUUGUGCCCUGAGGCCCCUUUGAGGUAUUGACUUUAGAACUAGUUCCACAGAGAGUUACCCUGAAAAGACAAUAGACCGUUGGGGAAGAACGUGAUUAUCCAUAAACUCGUCUUUAUUUUCAGCUUGCUUUAUGGCUCAAUCUCCAGAAGUAGUCCCUCAUGGCGUAGUGUUGUUGUUUUUUUCUAAAGGAGAAGAAAAGGAUGGCGAAGCAAAUUGAAGGGUUGUUAUUACAGGAUACGUGACUUAUUUUAAAACACCCUCCUUCUUCUGUUCUCUUGCAUGCAGCACAGCUUACAGAGAAACAGUGGGAGAUGGCCAAAUAAAUCGAUAGCUUGCCUCGUCUUCUACCUUUCAUUGCUGUGUGUCAGCAACAAAGCCACCAUUCAGGCGCAAACAUCUGCCUUGGUCUGCUCCCCCCGAGUAAUUCCAAAAACAAUGGCCAAGCGCCCUUCAUUGAUCAUUAUUGACAAGCCCUUAUUACAGAACUGUGGAAGGCUUGCAUUACUUCACUUCAAACUGCAUAUGUCUUCUUGGGGGGUUUCAGUGGGUGCAGAAUAGGUACAUUUCAGAACUUGUCUGUGUGUAUGUGUACAUAUACAUGAACACGUCCAGUUUUGUACAUACUUUUAGGCAUACAUUUAUUUGUUUUUUUAACAAUUAUUUUCUUGGCUUUUAAACAACUACAAUAGCCAUUAAGCACUUAUCCAGCAGCACAUCUAAUGGUGUUUGUUUUAUCCAUCGUCUCUAAACAUACACUUACACAUUCCACAUUCAAACAUAUUAUUUAACGUAACCCCUCCACUGAGAAUGUUGACCGGUUGGUAUAAGAAGGCCUUGAUUUUGUUCAUUAACAGAAAUAAAAGGAGUCCAUGUUUCUUGGAAGGUGUCGUUAUUCAUUAUAUCUUUAUCUGUGUUUCAAUUCUAACCCAUGAAGACGCAUGCCAUAAUACAUUGGUUAGUCCUUAAGGUGCUACAUUUUUUGACCUGGUCAAGAAUGCCUUGCAGUUACUAUUCCCCCUCCCAAAGCCACAAUUCCCAGAGUCCCCUGUGAAGAGGGGUUGACUGUGAAACUGCUCCGGGAAUUACAGCUCAGGAAGGGGAAUAAGGGUCUCUUAACAACGCAUGAGGCCCAAAAAUUAACUACAGCUCCCAGAAUUCUUUAAGGGAGGCCAUGGCUGUUCAGAGUGGCAUUACAGUGCUGUAAAUGUAUAGUGUGAACAUGGCCCUCGUUAUGUUUUAGUUCCCUCCAGAAUAGUUUGCCAAAAGCUCUCUGUGAGGCGGUCGUCGUUGCUGCCCUAUGUCCCUGUGGUGACGAAUUCCAUACGAUACCAGUGGUUUUUUUUCCUGGGGGGACGCAGGGGGAUGCAUACCCCUAAACAUUUUGUGAAUCUUUGUACUUUUGUCCAUUUACUGUAUUUUUCCCAAUUUGAACUAUAAAAUGGUGGUUUUCUUGAGUCAAAAUGAGAGUACCCCUAAACAUUAUUUUUUUAAGAAACAAAGCACUGGGUAUAACUAUAUGCUUUGUGAAGAAGUACUUGUCUCUGUCAAGCCCAAUUGAUAAAGAAGAGGCCAAAUGUAAACUAUUUUCAUGGACCCAUCGCUGCCUUGUGCUUGCUGUGCCUUGAGAAGCGAGCUUAGCUGUGAAGGGAGGAACUGAGAGUUCAAGUGUGAGGAAAGCAGAGGCUGAAUGUAAAGAGAUUGAGCUUUGAACAGUGAGCUUCUACUUCUAUUCAGUAAUGUUGCCGAACUGCUUCUUUCAGUACAGUGGGGCCCCUUUUAAAUGUAACUUUAAAUUUAAUCAGCUUGAAGAUCAGCACCACCACAUUAACAGCACUUCUGAACGGAGAGGUCUGUGGACUGUGAGCUUCAUUUUAGGCGGUUCAUGUUGUGUCUGCACUAAAUAUCCACACUGAUUGGCAAUUGUAUUUUUAUCGCUUCUUUUAUUAUUCCAUAUUGUAAUUUGAACUCUACGGAAUUCAAGUUACGAUAAGAGAAACGAAAGAAGCAAUAAGCAUAUGAAUUAAUAAAUCAUGCAGCAUCUAGCGUGGCGCACUACAAUUGAUACAACAGGCAGAAAAAUCAUUAUGUGGUCCACCAAGACCCUCAGCAGUUUUCAAGUGGUCUGAGGGGGAGGAGUUUGGUUAGCACUGUGUUGAAAUGCAGAGGGUGUGGUGUUUUAACUCUCCAAUGUGGAGACUAUGUUCAGC